GAGGGUAUAGCUUAGUGGUAGAGUAUGUGUUUAGCAUGCAUGAGGGUCUGGGUUCAAUUCCCAGUACCGCCA
rnacentral:tRNA from 1 species